UACAGAGGCCCCGAGCGUUAUCCGGAAUUAUUGGGCGUAAAGGGUGUGUAGGUGGCGUUGUUAGUCGUAUGUGAAAGCCCGGGGCUCAACCUCGGAUCCGCGUGCGAAACGGCAAUGCUUGAGUAUGUGAGAGGUAAGCGGAACUCAUGGUGUAGGGGUGAAAUCCGUUGAUAUCAUGGGGAACACCAAAAGCGAAGGCAGCUUACUGGCACAUUACUGACACUGAAACACGAAAGCGUGGGUAGCGAAUGGG
rnacentral:rRNA from 1 species